GAAGAAGUCUUCCUCUGUUUUUUUUUUUCCCUUUCUUUCCCCCUGUUUCAGAAGUGGGUCUCUCCCAAACUUCUCACAAACAGUUGGGAAACUUGAUAAUUCAGAAAAUCAGGCUGUUUUCGUGGAUAAAUCUAAGAGCUAUUGUUCUUUCAAGUCAGAGGUUAGUCUUAAAGAUCACUUUGGAGCUUGAUUUAUCAAUCAACUUGGAGAGGAGUUUGGAAUUUUGAUUGGAGCUAAAUAAGAAAUCAGUUUUGAAAAAUCUCACUGAUUAGCUCAGAACUAAGCCAGGACUUAGUUCCUAGUUUUUGAGUAAUGAAACUAACUGCGAAUCCAUUAAAAAAGUCUUUGUCAAUUGUCGUUAGAGUAAAGCUUUAGAAUAUAAGUGACUUGUUAAUUAGUUCAUCAAGUAAACUCAAAAACUUUCAAAAAGAAUAAGCAAAGAAAAGAAAAAGAAAAAAGAACUCGAAAACUAAGUGACCAACUUUGGAAUACUCCUUGAUUGGACUACUUACAAAAACUGAUGUGGAAUAUGUGGUUAAUUGGGGCAAUGGUGUUUGAAGAUCCUGGGACUCUUCGCCAUCCAAGUACUCUAGACUAAGAGUUGAUCAAUAAAAUUACUGACAACACCCAGAGAAAUAGUAUCAAAAUGCUUACCAGUCAAGCAGAUUUGCUAGGAUUCAAGGGAUUCAAUGCUCAUCAGGCCCAUGACCAGCCUUGUACAGACCAAACACAACCAACCAUGCAACAAUCAUUUAGUGCAGAACUUUUUGCUGAUAUUGUUAGCUGAACAAGAGAAUUAGGAAUUUAUGUCAGUUCAUUCUCCUUGUUUGCCUUCUUUUAGUGGAAAUAGUUCUUGGGCAAUAUUUUUUAUUAGCCAAACUAAUCUCACAGGAAACAAAAAGAGGAAGUACAUUCUAUCAUGGCCAAGUGGCAACUUGGGAUUAGGUAAUAUAUAAUCAAUUUUUUAUGGAAAUACAAAUUAUAUGUUUUGGAUUUGGAUGAUA